rnacentral:rRNA from 1 species
UACGUAGGGGGCAAGCGUUGUCCGGAUUUAUUGGGCGUAAAGAGCGUGUAGGCGGCCUGAAAGGUCAGCUGUGAAAACUCGAGGCUCAACCUCGAGACGUCGGUUGAAACCAUCUGGCUAGAGUCCGGAAGAGGAGUGUGGAAUUCCCGGUGUAGCGGUGAAAUGCGCAGAUAUCGGGAAGAACACCGGUGGCGAAGGCGGUCUGCUGGGCAGUUGCUGACACUGAGGCGCGACAGCGUGGGGAGCAAACAGG